GGAAAGGAGGAAUAACAACAAUACAGUCUUUAUUUGGCAGCCAAAACUCCACAGACCUCAUCCACACCCGAUGCCCGCUAACGGCUCACUUUUAAUGUUUCCUGCUGCUGCUGCUCUGGAGAGGGACCAUUUGACCCGUGUUUGGAAAACAAGCCAAAUCAAAGAGAGGAAAGCCCUUGGAAAGGCCUCAGCUUCUGCGCAGGCGGGGUGGGGUCGCUGGGUCCAGCCCUGGCCAGUUGAGUUUCUAACAAGUGCCUUGCUUCCCUGAUAUCAAUUCUUCAGCUCACUGAGGAGCUGUGGGACACUUUUCAGAGCAUACACGGUGACAUUAUUUCCCCACCAUAGUCUCCAGGAGCUUGCUAAGGGAGUGGAGACGCACUGUGCAGUGAGCUGACAUAAGAGGUGACUACUGGUUUGGUGGCUAGAAGACCAGUCUGGCCUGAGGAUCACACAGCAAAGUUAAAGCAGGUUUCCAAUUUUAAGUCCCCAAGCCAUUGCUCCUAGUUCAUGAGGACAAUGUUGGGUCUCUCCUUCCAGCUCUGUGUCACCCUCAGGUGAGGUUUGGGGGCUGCGUAGCUGUCCCACAGAACCACAAAGAUCGCAGCCUCCCCAGUGCAUGGGUCUCUUGCAUUGCAGUGCAACUGGAAACCAAUUCAAGAGUCUCCGUUAUCUCAACAAUAACCCCCCCUCCCAUCCGAAAAGUCAGGCUCACUUGGCUUUAAGGAGCAUCCAGCACAACUUCUGGCUCAGAACCUCAGGGAAAUACGCAAUCACCAUUAGGUCAGCAGAGACCUGCAAAGCCCACAAGGGACUCUUGUCGCUGUCCCCGACUCCCGGUAGUCCCCUGCUCUUCCACUCCCAGGAAGUGAAGUGUGAUCUUAGGCAAGUCCCUUGAUUUUGGCAUGCCUUUGUCUCCUCAUCUGCGUCUCAGAGUUCUGGAAGUAACUGUCAUAGGACACUCUAGGCACUGGUGAGGCAGUGGGACUUCAGAAGAGAUCACAGUGAAUCACAGCCAGAGAAGAGAAAUAAAGGUCACACACUGCCUGUUUACCUGCCUUCUCGCUGUCACAGUCCCCAAAAGCAUGUGCUGGAGGGAGGGUUAGUUCCGGGCUUUGCACAUGCUAGUCCAGGUCUCUACCACUGAGCUGUGCCCAUAGACUUCAUAUACACACAGGAGACCACCACACCGUCACUGAACACCAGAUCAACAGUUACCACCUCAUGCUGGCGUGGUGGCUAGUGUCAGUAAUCUCAGCACUUAGGACCUGAGGCAGGAGAAUUGCUACUAGUUUGAGGCCAGCAUGGAAAACUGAGUUAGACAUUCUCAAAACUCAAAAUAAAAUAGGAACUACUAAGCAAAUUAAUAAUAAUUAUCCCCUCAUGCCAAUUUUGUUUCUACUGUGCCCACUCCCACAAACCGUGCUGUUAUGUUUUGGAGUGUUUAUACUUUUAUUUUAUCUUAGUUGUAUGCUUUUAGCUAGGGCAGGAACUUCCUCACUCCACACCUGCCUUAGCCUACAGUUGGGGCCUCGCCUUCUUUUUAUAGGGUACCUGUAUCUUCCCAUCAUUGGAGGCACCUGAGUUCCCAGCCACUGGUCUACUGGCAAUGGUGGAGUGUAGAGCGAGGUGAGACAAAUCAGGAUCUGGGGAGGCUCAAUGGAAGCAGAGGCUUGGGAGCAUCAUCCACACAGCCAAGGCUUCUCCAGAGUAAGCGUCCACAGUGUUGGAAACACGCCGCAGCAGAGGGCCCAAAGGAUGGUGUGACACAGCUUUGUAAAGAAACAUACUCUAGACUGGAUUUCCUUUCACUAGUGGCACAGUUCUAAGGAUUCAUUCUCUCCAUGAAUGUCAGCUAAAACCGUUAUUAAAAAAAUGAAAUAUCCCUAGAACAAAACCGUAUAACCACCGGAUUCACAUGAAGAUGACCUAGUGGAGACAAGCUGGACCUCACCUUAUCAACAAGCUAUCAAAUCUGUUAUGUUUAAACAGUGAGACCUCCAAGGAAGGAGAUGCCAAGUAGUGCUUCAAAGCUUCGGACCACAAUCAAACACAGCAUCUUUUUCAACAGAAGCAGAAGCUCAUCUGAAUAUGCUCAAGGAUGCUGACAUCAACAUUUAAUCAUCUCCUCACUCAUCCAGGAAGAAGGGGAGAUCAGUUACUACUGUACUUUAUUGUGUUCAACCAAAUCACCAUGUUACAAAAAUAGCAAGCUGCCAUAAUAAAAAAUAAGGCUCCUCUAUCCAGCACCAGAUAGCAUCAUUUUACUUUCAAACCUAGAAAUUGCACACUUGUAUAUAAACCAACCGAAGAUGAGGAUUGAGAGUUCAUCUUGGUGGAUUUUUCCUUUGAUGAAUAUGAAGUGUCCUUCCUUAUCUUUUUUGAUGACUUUUAAUUGAAAAUUGAUUUUAUUUGAUAUUAGAAUGGCUACUCCAGCUUGCUUCUUCUGACCAUUUGCUUGGAAAGUUGUUUUCCAGCCUUUCACUCUGAGGUAGUGUCUGUCUUUGUCUCUGAGGUGUGUUUCCUGUAGGCAGCAGAAUGCAGGGUCCUCAUUGCGUAUCCAGUUUGUUAAUCUAUGUCUUUUUAUUGGGGAGUUGAGGCCAUUGAUGUUGAGAGAUAUUAAGGAAUAGUGAUUAUUGCUUCCUGUUAUAUUCAUAUUUGGAUGUGAGGUUAUGUUUGUGUGCUUUUCUUCUCUUUGUUUUGUUGCCAAGAUGAUUAGUUUCUUGCUUCUUCUAGGGUAUAGCUUGCCUCCUUAUGUUGGGCUUUACCCUUUAUUAUCCUUUGUAGUGCUGGAUUUGUAGAAAGAUAUUGUGUAAAUUUGUUUUUGUCAUGGAAUAUCUUGGUUUCUCCAUCUAUGUUAAUUGAGAGUUUUGCAGGAUACAGUAACCUGGGCUGGCAUUUGUGUUCUCUUAGGGUCUGUAUGACAUCUGUCCAGGAUCUUCUGGCCUUCAUAGUUUCUGGCGAAAAGUCUGGUGUGAUUCUGAUAGGUCUGCCUUUAUAUGUUACUUGACCUUUUUCCCUUACUGCUUUUAAUAUUCUUUCUUUAUUUUGUGCGUUUGGUGUUUUGACAAUUAUGUGACGGGAGGUGUUUCUUUUCUGGUCCAAUCUAUUUGGAGUUCUGUAGGCUUCUUGUAUGUCUAUGGGUAUCUCUUUUUUUAGGUUAGGGAAGUUUUCUUCUAUGAUUUUGUUGAAGAUAUUUACUGGUCCUUUGAGCUGGGAGUCUUCACUCUCUUCUAUACCUAUUAUCCUUAGGUUUGAUCUUCUCAUUGAGUCCUGGAUUUCCUGUAUGUUUUGGACCAGUAGCUUUUUCCGCUUUACAUUAUCUUUGACAGUUGAGUCAAUGAUUUCUAUGGAAUCUUCUGCUCCCGAGAUUCUCUCUUCCAUCUCUUGUAUUCUGUUGGUGAAGCUUGUAUCUACAGCUCCUUGUCUUUUCUUUUGAUUUUCUAUGUCCAGGGUUGUUUCCAUGUGUUCUUUCUUGAUUGCUUCUAUUUCCAUUUUUAAUUCCUUCAACUGUUUGAUUGUGUUUUCCUGGAAUUCUUUCAGGGAUUUUUGCGAUUCCUCUCUGUAGGCUUCUACUUGUUCUCUAAGGGAGUUCUUUAUGUCUUUCUUGAAGUCCUCCAGCAUCAUGAUCAAAUAUGAUUUUGAAACUAGAUCUUGCUUUUCUGGUGUGUUUGGAUAUUCCGUGUUUGCUUUGGUGGGAGAAUUGGGCUCCGAUGAUGCCAUGUAGUCUUGGUUUCUGUUGCUUGGGUUCCUGCGCUUGCCUCUCGCCAUCAGAUUAUCUCUAGUGUUACUUUGUUCUGCUAUUUCUGACCGUGGCUAGACUGUCCUAUAAGCCUGUGUGUCAGGAGUGCUGUAGACCUGUUUUCCUGUUUUCUUUCAGCCAGUUAUGGGGACAGAGUGUUCUGCUUUUGGGCGUGUAGUUUUUCCUCUCUACAGGUCUUCAGCUGUUCCUGUGGGCCUGUGUCUUGAGUUCACCAGGCAGGUUUCUUGCAGGGGAAAAGUUGGUCCUACCUGUGGUUCCAAGGCUCAAGUUUGCUCGUGGGGUACUGCCCAAGUCCUCUCCGCGGCGGCAGCAACCGGGAAGAUCUGCGCCGCUCUUUCCGGGAGCCUCCGUGCACCAGGAUUCCAGAUGGCGUUUGGUGUUUUCCUCUGGCGUCUGGAUGUGCACAGAGUGCAGUCUCUUCUGGUUUCCCAGGCAUGUCUGCCUCUCUGAAGGUUCAGCUCUCCCUCCCACGGGAUUUGGGUGCAGAGAACUGUUUAUCCGGUCUGUUUCCUUCAGGUUCCGGCGGUGUCUCAGGCGCAGGGGUCCUGCCGCUCCCGGGCCCUCCCCUAUGGGAACCCAGAGGCCUUAUACAGUUGCCUCUUGGGCCAGGGAUGUGGGCAGGGGUGGGCAGUGUUGGUGGUCUCCUCCGCUCUGCAGCCUCAGGAGUGCCCACCUGAUCAGGUGGUGAGGUCUCUCUCCCACGGGGUUUGGGAGCAGAGAGCUGCUGCGGGCCGGGAUCCGCGGGUGUGGGACUUCCGGUAAACACAGGAAGUGCCCGGUCCUAGAGGAAUUUUGCCUCUCUCUAGCCUUCUUUUUUACUUAUACAUUUUUUGGUGCAGAUAGGGUCUCACUAAGUUGCCCAGAUUGUUCUUCAACUGUGUUCCUUCCAUACCCUCCCAAGUAGCUGGAAUUACAGCCUGAGCCCCAGGCUCUAAUGCUGUCCAGAAUUGUUCCUCCCUGGACCCUUUCCCUUUGAUAUUCUUCUUUGACAUCCUUUGUUGCAGUUGUCCAUUAACCUUUCCUCAACUUGACCCGGUGGUGGAAUGUUCUGGGUUCCUGAAUGAAACACACACACACACACACACACACACAGAGAGAGAGAGAGAGAGAGAGAGAGAGAGAGACAGACACACACAGAUAGACAGACAGACAGACAGCAGACACACACACACACACACACACACACACACACACACACACACACUCACACACAGACAGAGAACCUUACAUUUUAAUAUGCCUUACACAGAUCAAUGACUGGGUCACUCCCAAACCUCUACCUGGCUAACAUACCCCCCUCCGAUACUCCUGAGUUUUUGCUUACUAAAAUCUAUAUUCCAUCUUUUUCCCUAGACCCAGUCAAAGGCCCCCCUAGGGCUGAUCUUCCCUGGCUCUUACAUGUUGGCUGUCUGUCUGUCUGCACUUCUCAUGAGUGGCUGCUACUCAUUUUCUGGCAUGGAGGUUCUUUCGCUCUCUGUCUUGACCCCUUGCCUAUGAAUCCUAAGUCCCGCCUCUGCCUCCCUGACCAGCCACUGACCACCGGCAGAUUUAUUUACCAAUCAAAGCCAACUGGGGCAGGGACUCUCAACAUCUUAUAUGCAGAUUCUCAUGCAAUUUUGGGGACCCAGUUAACAUAAUACAAGCGUUAGACUAAAUUCUCAACAUUUCCCCCUUGGUGUCCAUUAAAAAGGCCUUUUCUCUCAGAAUACAAUGAACAUAGUUGCAACAGUUACAUAAACUCUAAGGUAUGAUAUACACUAAUGAUGUCUAGUCCACCAAUUUUGUCAAUUUAGAUACAUUGCUCUAACUUCUAUCCUAAUUAAAGAGUUUACAAUUCUGUA